GGGCGCUUAGCUCAGCGGUGGUAGCGCUACCUUCACACGGUAGAGGUCACAGGUUCAAAUCCUGUAGCGCCCACCA
rnacentral:tRNA from 1 species